rnacentral:rRNA from 1 species
UACAGAGGUCCCAAGCGUUGUUCGGAUUCACUGGGCGUAAAGGGUGCGUAGGCGGUCGGGUAAGUCUGAUGUGAAAUCUCACAGCUUAACUGUGAAACUGCAUUGGAUACUAUCCGGCUCGAGGAAUGGAGGGGAGACUGGAAUACUUGGUGUAGCAGUGAAAUGCGUAGAUAUCAAGUGGAACACCAGUGGCGAAAGCGGCUCACUGGACCAUUACUGACGCUGAUGCACGAAAGCUAGGGGAGCAAACAGG